rnacentral:lncRNA from 1 species
AUGUGUUCAUAUUCCUCAUGCUGGUAUAUAUGCUAUCCUCAAAACUUCAUGCCAACCAGCCAUUUGAUACCCUCCAAACACCUUGGAGAGUCAAGACAUCUUUAUUUGCUUAGAAAGAAUAUGGGAAAAUACACCAACCCCUGUACUGAGAAUUUACCAUCUACCAGAAGUACAUUGUAUUCUAUUGAGGGUGACCUGCAGGCCUUUCUGGAAGAGAAGGUAGAAGACAAGGGAAAACAAGAAUUUAUUAGUUAUGCAAAGAAUCCUUUCCUCCAAGGAUGAACAUUCUACAGGCAGGAGAAAAGAAUCCAUGGGGACCUGGGCAGAUUGAAACAGCUGUACACUGAGGAGGUUCAUGCUGGGAGAAGACAUUUCCUUUAAAGUGUUUCUGCAUCUUCAAAGCACAACAUUGAAAAAGGCCAAAUGAUGUUCCCUCUGCUGAAUAAAGCUGGGACAGCUGCUUUAACCUCA